CAGAGUGAGACCUCAUCUCAAAAAAAGGGCUUAUGACAGCAGGUGCUUUCCCCUGCUUUUCUGCCAGGUGAAGACAUGGUGUUUCUCCCCUCUAGAGGAUGCAGCAUUCAAGUUGACAUCUUGGAAGCAGAGAGAACAGGCUCUAACCUGCUGGUGUCUUGAUAUUGAACUUCUCAGCCUCCAGAACUGUGAGAGAAUAUAUUUCUGUUCUUUAUAAAUUACCCAGUCUGUGUUAUUGCAGCACAAAAUGGACUAAGACAGCAGUUAAGGGAGAAAGGAGACAUGUAUGGCUGAUUUAGGCAUGCAUCUGCACAGUAGGCCAUCACUAGUUAGAAGUGGAUGGCCUUUGCACUACAAGCCCCUCUGGAUGGCUCUGAAAGACAGUGGAGAAAGAAUUUCCUUCCAGUGAGGUGAACUUCAGGAGCAUCCAGUUGUCCAUUUCAUGUGGAAGAAGAGAUGGCCUGAGGGCUUCUUCCCAGUCACCAUAAUUCAUAGAUUUAGAGAAUGAUUAGUCUAUGCAAGAGUAAACAAUUGUGAUGGUAAACUUUAUGUGUCAAGAAUGGAGCAAGAUGGCCAAAUAGUAGCCUCCGUGAAUCGUCCUCCUCCACAGGAACAGUAAAUUUUAACAACUAUCUGCACACAGAAAACCACCUUUAUAAGAACCAAA
rnacentral:lncRNA from 1 species